rnacentral:rRNA from 1 species
GACGAACGCUGGCGGCGUGCUUAACACAUGCAAGUCGUACGGUAAGGCCCUUUCGGGGGUACACGAGUGGCGAACGGGUGAGUAACACGUGAGUAACCUGCCCACCACUUUGGGAUAACGCUAGGAAACUGGUGCUAAUACUGGAUAUGUGCUCCUGCUGCAUGGUGGGGGUUGGAAAGCUCCGGCGGUUGGGGAUGGACUCGCGGCCUAUCUGCUUGUUGGUGGGGUAGUGGCCUACCAAGGCGGCGACGGGUAGCCGGCCUGAGAGGGUGACCGGCCACAUUGGGACUGGGAUACGGCCCAGACUCCUACGGGAGGCAACAGGGGGGAAUAUUGCACAAUGGGCGGAAACCUGAUGCAGCAACGCCGCGUGCGGGAUGACGGCCUUCGGGUUGUAAACCGCUUUCAGCAGGGACGGAGCUUUUUGUGACGGUACCUGCAGAAGAAGCACCGGCUAACUACGUG